rnacentral:rRNA from 1 species
UACGUAGGGGGCAAGCGUUGUCCGGAAUUAUUGGGCGUAAAGAGCGCGUAGGCGGUCCGGUAAGUCGGCUGUGAAAGUCAAGGGCUCAACCCUUGAAAGCCGGCCGAUACUGUCGGGCUAGAGUGCGGAAGAGGCGAGUGGAAUUCCUGGUGUAGCGGUGAAAUGCGCAGAUAUCAGGAGGAACACCGAUUGCGAAGGCAGCUCGCUGGGACGUUACUGACGCUGAGACGCGAAAGCGUGGGGAGCAAACAGG